ACCCUUUUUGUGAUCCAUAAAUGUACUGAUUGAGUUCCCGUCUCACUGUGAGGGAUAGGCUCCUCUCAAACUGUGUUAUAAUGUCAGGACAUUACUUGUCUGACA
rfam:Mus musculus chromosome 3, GRC primary reference assembly.